rnacentral:rRNA from 1 species
UACAGAGGUGGCAAGCGUUGUUCGGAUUUACUGGGCGUAAAGGGUGCGUAGGCGGCUUUGUGUGUCGGAUGUGAAAUCCCACGGAUCAUCUGUGGAACUGCAUUCGAAACUGCAGAGCUGGAGUGCAGGAGAGGAAGGUGGAAUUCUCGGUGUAGCGGUGAAAUGCGUUGAUAUCGAGAGGAACGCCGGUGACGAAGGUGACCUUCUGGACUGCAACUGACGCUGAGGCACGAAAGCUAGGGGAGCAAACAGG